rnacentral:lncRNA from 1 species
GAUGUUUGCUAUGGAAUUCUCUCUCUAACCAAUAUAGGACACCUUGUGGGGAACUGUAGCUGGAUCAUAGGUUGGGACAAGAUGAAGACCAAUGUAUCAUUUAGAGUCCCCAAAUAAAGCAAAUGGACACUGAGAAUAAUUCAAGAAUAGUUUAUUUACAAAGGAAUUGUUUACAGAGUUGUGGACAGGCUGAAGGAAAAUCAUAAGGGGACAGCACAAUACCCCAAGGAGGGUUAAUAAGAAUAGAGACAUCCCUACGCCAAGAAUGGACGGGGAGAUGGGUGAUAUGUGAAUGUUGAAAGAGUCAGUUGAAGCAGACCACCCUGUGAGCCACAGUGACUCUGUGUGAAAGACUAUCAGUAGCUGGAGGGGACCUCACAAGGGAGGGAAGCGGAGGAAGUAACUCCCCAUUAUCUUAUGCCUCGCUCCCUCUGAUUUCCUGCCAGGAUCCUCGCUGGCUGAACCAAACCAGAAGGCAGAGACACAGAAAGCCUGUUGGGGCGCUCCUCACGAGUCAGCCCUCAAGGGUAGAGUGCCAGUGGAGAUGGUUGGGAGCAGCCUGAAUGGACAGACAGAACUGCAGCCCAAAGGACCUCGAAGCUCAUUACAAGGUCCCAUUUGGUACCCAGUUUAUUACUGCUUCCAAGGUCAUUCCUGAGAACUCAAGAUCCACAAGCUCUGGAAAUUAUAAGUGUAAUCCCAACCUGAGGAGGCAGCGCGGUGGAGGAGAAAGAAGACACAGUCUGGAUAUGCACUCUGCUUUAUCCCUGCUCUAUCAUUUACACACGGAGUGACUCAGUUUCCCCAGAUGUAACGAGCAUUCAGGGAAGGUUGAGCCCAUCCACACAUCACAACACAUCACAUCAUGCUUUUCUCUACUUUCAAAUCAGCAGCAAAUUAGAAACAGACAUGAGUCAAAUCAAUGGGGAGGGAGUGCCAGCACCAGUUUAAUAGCUGCUAUCUGGAUUUGGGAAUGCAGUUGGAUCUACAGGCAAAUGUUUUACUAUUUUACCUUUCCAAAGACUGAACCAAACUCAAGCGAAAUAACUGGAGAAUCAUGGCUACCUUCCUUCCUGGAAAAGUCAUUCUUAGCAACAAAGAAGAGAAUAACGCAGAUCAGACAGCAGGUCCCUAACCUAGAAUGGGGAGCCAAAAGACAACGGAGACUCUGAUGCCUUUAGCCACCUAGGGAAAAGCAGUGGGCCGAUGCAUGUGCAGACCCUCAGCCUCCCACCAUCAGACCCAGCAAGCACCUCCUCUCUGGGGAGAGAAGCAAGGGUCAGUGACAGAACCUCUCCUGGAAACAAGGGAAUAGAGGAGAUGGUCCUACAGUCAGGUACGACUCCCUCUGGUAGAGCUGAUGAAUAAAUUAGAUGAUCAAGGAAACAGCAUCAAUCAGCAAGCCAGUGAACAUUAUCGUCAGUCUGUCUGUCUGCCUGCCUUCCUUCCUUCUCCCCCCCUCCCCCCCACUUUAAGCCAAGUUCCUUGGCAGCUAUCCUGAGACUUUCCUGGGGAUGACACUGUCUGCUCCAUCUGGUAUUGCCAGGCUAGGUGGACCGCACAUUCUGCUUUGCUGGGGAUGGGGUUAUUGCUGACUUCUCUCUAUCCUGACCAGGUUAGCACUGGCCUAGACAAGAGUCCAUCUGGGUAGUGACUUACUCAGGCACCCCUUUUCUAACAGGAAAAUUCUAGCCAGGCAGUAUAACGACUUCUCUUCCCUUUCCUUCUAAGUCAUCAUGGUUACUUCUCUCUUUCCAUCUGCAGCUUCUUUACUGGAUCCUCUGUAAUAAAGGCCAGCAUUUUCCAGGUGUGAUUUCUUUUUUCUCUCAUUUCCUUCUGCCUCUGCCCCCUGGAGGAUCCCACCUUUCCGUGUCUUCAACUACACAAGCUACAUUUGAGCUAUGUUCCAACUCGCCCUGUCCUUCCCUGACUUCUCCACUCCCAUUCCCAACUGCUCCAUCUCUACCUGGAUGUCCUGUAAACAUCAAAAACAAAUUUGCUCCAAAUAGUACUCCCUUUCUUGCCCUUCUUUCCUCAAAUUGUUUGCCAUAUUUUCUGGUACUAUUUUUUUUACCCACUUUCCCUAACUGAAAUUCUUUAUUAUAAAUUUUGGUUUAUAUUAGUGCAUGCAUGAAGUACAUAAUGAUUACAGUUAUCAUGGGCAGUCGAGGAUGUUUCUAAUCAUAGCACCUCUUCAUUCUUUUUAUGUUCCCUACCUGCUCUCCCCCACCUCUUCCAUCUUUAGGUUCCUUUCCAAUUUGCAAAAGAUCUAGCUCCUUUUCGUUUUUCUUUUUGUCAAUUCUUUGAUUCCCCUUUUCCUCUUCUAUAUCCCCUUGCUUCUAUCUCUUGCUACCCUUCCCAUUUACAAAAGGUCUCCCUACUUCCUACUAUCUUUUAUUUUGCAUUUUAUUUCACUUAAUAUUAUAGUCUCGAGGUGCCUCCAUUUACCUGUGAAUGACUCAAAUUGACUCCUUUAUAGCAGAGUAGCACACCACUGUAUAUAAAUACAUUUUCUUUAUUCAUCUGUUUAUUAUCUAUAAGCCAUUUCCAAGAUUUAGCUAUUAUGAACUGUGCUGCUACACAGUGGGUAUGCAUUUAUCACUGUACUAGGAUGUCUUUAAUUCUUUUGGGAAGAUACCUAGAAGGGGAAUAGCUAGUUCAAAAUGGGAUUACUAGUUACAGAUUUUUGAGGAAUCUCCAUAUGGUUUUCCACAGUGGUUGUACUAGUUUACAUUCCAACCAACAAUGGAGAAAUGUUCCUUUUUCCUCACAGCCUUGUCAGCACUUGUUAUUAUUUGAUUCCUUCAUGACAGGCAUUCUUUAUAGAGUAAGAUGGAUCUCAGUAUUGUUUUAAUUCACAUAAUGGCCAGCAAUAUUGAACAUUUUUCAUAUAAUUAUUAGCCAUUUGUACUUCUCCUGAGAAGUAGCUACUCAUUUCACUUACCAACUUUUUUAUUGAAUCUUCUAUUUAGGGGUGGUCUAAUUUUUUUUGAGUUCUUUAUAUGUUCUAGAUCUUAGUUUUCUGUCUGAGGAAUAGUGGCAAAAACUUUUUCCCAUUCUGUAGGUUGUCUCUUCACUCUGUUGGUUGUUUCCACCAAAAUUCUUACUCAUGCUCCAUUUCUGUUUCUUUCUUACUCCCACAUUUAGUAGAAGCUCAGUUCUGUUAAUGGCUGUCCAGUCUGUCUUCUUCCCUCCAUCCUGGCUUUCUAAGAUUAGAUUUUCAUCUUUCACCCAACUCCUUGCAAUGCCUCUGAAAUGAUUCCCCAGCUACAUUGUUCACCCUCAUCCAAAAUCAAGGCUAUUUGCAGAAUCUAUUCCCCUCCUUCUGUGGGUCUGUUUGUUUUAGUCUGGUCAGGCUGCUCUGACAAACUAGUACAACAGUAAACUUACUUCUCACGGUUAUGAAGGCUGAGAAGACCAAGAUCAAGACACUAGUAGACUCUGCGUCUAAUGAGAGCCCAUUCCUGGUUCAUGGAACACUAUAUUUUUGCUAUCUCCUCACAUGACAAAAAAUAGAGCCACAGGUGAAGCAAGGUAGCUCUCUAGGUCCUCUUUUAUAAGGACGCUGGUCCCUUAUCAGGGCUCCAUCUUUAUAAUCUAACCACCUUACAUGGGGCCCAUCUGUAAAUACAGGUUAGGAUUUCAAUGUGUGUAUUUAGGGUGACACAAAUAUUCAGUCUGUGGUAUGUCCCCCCAUACACACACAAACAUACUCUACAACUUGUAAGCCUAUCUUGGUCCCCUUCAUCCAGCAGUCGGAUUCACACUUCUUAGAAUCACCCCGAAGCCCACUCAGGUCUGCCCCACCUUGUCUCCUGUUCAUCUGCCCUCCAAGACUUAGCAGCACUGAAUUUAUAUCACCAUUUUCAAAAAAGCUCAUGCCCUCUGUUUCUGUUUAUACCUCAGGCCUCCACUUCAAAUGCCCUGCCCCAGAGCACACACCUAUUCUUGGCUCAUAAAGCCAAGGAAUACCUUUCCUGCAUGAGCUAUCUCAAAUGCCUCUGCCCUGGUAAAUCCUUCCCUGACAUCCCCUUAUGUCCUCAAUAUUGAACUGCAGAAAUCAAGAUACACAUCAUCAAAGCGAGUCCAUCUGUAUUUAUGAUUCUCCCUUUGCAAUGGUAACCACAACUGAGAAUGAUGUUUCUGCUUCUCUACUUUCAGCAGCGAGUUUUUUACCUCCUUCCAAGUGGAAUCUCUAUGCCAUUUAUUCCACACAGAUAUGAAGGGAAGAAUGGAGACUAGGUUGUUUGUGGUAGUGAAGUACUCCCAUUCACCACAGACCUGAGAAUCGGGAAACCAUGGUCCCACGCAUGACAGCUGCCUCUACUUGGCCUUGUAGAUUUAGACAAGUUCCUCUCUCCUCAGGGCUGUGCUUUGGUCCUUCUGUCUGAAUAAUGAAGAAAUCAAUAACUAAACAACUUUCUUAGUAGGUAGCAAUGGCAACACGGUAACACAAUAAAUCGUUUGUUUCCAAAUACUUUCAUACUUAAUGUAAAGUUGAUAUAUUUAUCACUGUUACUACUGUGAAUUUGACUUGCUAAACAUUCAAGUGACAAUUUGAUCUGAAAUACUUUCUCAUAGAUAAUUGAAAAAAAUGAUUCAUAUGCAGAGUAUUUAAAGAUUUGCGUAUGCAGAACCUAAUUUAUGGCUUUAAAAAGUUAAGCCAUAAUUAUUGUCAAUUAGUUUUUCAUAGCAUUCUGAUUUUAUAUCUAGACUUGCUUUUUGUUCUUUUCCUAAGUCUUCAGUACUUUGAAAUCAAGCCCUUCCCAGGAUGUGACUUGAGAUCAUCGUGGCAUCAAAGCAUCUUACUAAUAUUUUGAGAAAAUAAAGAAAAAUUAAAGAUUGUUUACAUUGUUAUUCUGUUAGCAUUCGAUCUAAAUUAGUCUCUGUCCUAAGAAAAUGGUUCUAAAUCAGGAACAGCUUAAUGUAAUGAGAGCUCAUCACAUAUUUUUUUCCACAAGAAGAAAACAAUGCAAACAACCAAAAUGCCUAACCAGAGAGUAAAGGAUAAGUGAAUUAUAAUGUACAGUAUUUACGUGAUGAG